rnacentral:rRNA from 1 species
UACGAAGGGGGCUAGCGUUGUUCGGAAUCACUGGGCGUAAAGCGCACGUAGGCGGAUCUUUAAGUCAGGGGUGAAAUCCCGAGGCUCAACCUCGGAACUGCCUUUGAUACUGGGAUCUCGAGUCCGGGAGAGGUGAGUGGAACUGCGAGUGUAGAGGUGAAAUUCGUAGAUAUUCGCAAGAACACCAGUGGCGAAGGCGGCUCACUGGCCCGGUACUGACGCUGAGGUGCGAAAGCGUGGGGAGCAAACAGG